rnacentral:rRNA from 1 species
GCGAUCUACGGGGCAGAAGCGUGGGUAGUACGUAGGCAGCAGUCGUGGUUCGGAGUUACUGGGGGUAAAGAGUGUGUAGGGGGUUCGGUAAGUCUGGUGUGAGAUCUCCCGGCUGAACGGGGAGGGGGCGCCGGAAACUGGCGGGCUAGAGUGUGGGAGAGGGAAGCGGAAUUCCUGGUGUAGCGGUGAAAUGCGUAGAUAUCAGGAGGAACACCGGUGGUGUAGACGGCUUCCUGGACCACAACUGACGCUGAGACACGAAAGCGUGGGGAGCAAACAGGAUUAGAUACCCCAGUAGUC